UAGAUAGACAAGAGACUUGGAAUGCAAGGUGUGGACAACCAAGAUAAAGUUAACACUGUGUGUACUGAAGGGAAGGGUGUGUGUGUGUGAAUGGUCUGGAGUGUAAAGGUCAGAGAGUCAAGUUCACUCCCUAAGGAAAAACAUUUCUGGUUUAUAAGUGUGUGCACAGUAUUGUAUCUAGAUUAACUGGCCAAUAAUCUGUUUUCCAGUAUCUGAGUACUUGUCUGUGGUGACAGUCUGUAGUUUCUCACACAUCCACAUAUACAACUUUGACGCUCUUCUCCUCUCCACAGGGCAUCUGGUGCAGGCCUUAAUCCCAAAGUAGCCUGAUGGUUGAGAGCAAGUGAGUGUGUCCAGGCAGACUGGAGCUUAUCUGCUGGAGAAAAAAAAAGCCUGUCCGUGCUUGCUGUUAACACGUCUCGUUCCUGCUCAACUCUGGGAGCUGUGCAGGGUGACCUGGGUUAAUUGCAGCUGCAGAGAUGAACAGCCUGGGUCACCUUCGCUACGAAAGAGAUGGGGAAAAAAUGAGGCACACAUUGUACCUGAACCUGAAUCGUCCCCGAUUGGCCCUCCUUCCGCUUAUCUCUCCGGGUUGCUCCACACCCUCUGCCCGCCGGUGCUGGUCACAUGCUUGACCUGCUCAACUGGCCUGGACCACACCCCGUCCUACAUACCUGCUCCUCACCUGCACUGUACUGAGUGACACUUUUGUAAGUACACACAUACGCACACACACGUACACAUGCAGCUGCAUGCAAGCCUCUUCAGGAAACAAGAGUUUGAGAGAGCGGGCAGCCCAGCCCAGUGGCUGUUUAUUUGCUCUGCCGUGUGCGUGAGGAGAGCUGAUGAUUGGCUCCUCUGUCAUUAGAGCACAUCGCCGUUGCUGUUAAACCUUCAUCUGCUAGAUUAAAAACACAGCAAGCCCUUUAAUGUUCAUGAACUUGCACACUGGAAACAAUUACCUAAAAAUAACAAAAUUAUAAUAACUUGAGCCCCUCUCUGCCAAGGCAAAGGGCAAAUAAUUAGUGCGAGAAAGUGUGUUUUCAUUGUGUAAAGCACACAUGCAGUAGGUCCAAAUUGCCAGUGUCUGUGUCUCAUCUGGUCAGUCAAUAAACUUUGCUGAAAUGCUUCCCUAGUUUAUACC
ensembl:lncRNA